UUUACAUCGAGCUACGGUUAGGUCUCCUGAGUCAAAUCCUGCUGUGCAGGGUCAGCACAUUGGCAGAAAGCAUCAGUUAAUUGCUCUCAACGAAUGCGCUAAGCCCUGCACCACUGGGUUUACCUCAAUUCAGAAAGCUUCUAGCUCUCAUAUAUGAUAUGGGUGGUGAGUUGGAGAUAAAAAUUAGUUUUUAGUGAUAUUCUGAAGAACAAAAAUUAAUAGAAAAAAGCAAAAUUGAUCAGCAAGGUUCCACUGAACCUUAUAUAACAGCUGUCAACUAGGUAAAGUCAUUUACCACAAUCUUGGCAUAAUAUCCAUCCAAUGAACCAUCCAUCGGGCAAUUACAAUUCAGAUUUUACAAAUCAUUUAUCUGCAAGGAAGUUUGAAAACAUUAUCUUAAAACAGGGCCUAGACCAUGUUUUCAUUGUUAAGCUUGUGAUAUUGAGCUUGAUAGGCCUAUAUCUUAAUUUUAAAAACAAAAAAAUUGCUUGUAAGUAAGCUUCGUGAUUACAUCAUCGCUUUAGCUUUGAAUUAGACAGUUGCCUCAAUCUGGAGGCUGAAAAAUGUGGGAAAAUAUACAGCAGCAGAAUACAUCAAGCCGUUCCUGCCGC